rnacentral:rRNA from 1 species
UUUUUGUUUGGAGAGUUUGAUCCUGGCUCAGGACGAACGCUGGCGGCGUGCUUAACACAUGCAAGUCGAACGGAAAGGUCUCUUCGGAGAUACUCGAGUGGCGAACGGGUGAGUAACACGUCCGGAUAGGACCACGGGAUUCAUGUCCUGUGGUGGAAAGCUUUUGCGGUGUGGGAUGGGCCCGCGGCCUAUCAGCUUGUUGGUGGGGUAACGGCCUACCAAGGCGACGACGGGUAGCCGGGCGAUCUGCCCUGCACUUCGGGAUAAGCCUGGGAAACUGGGUCUAAUA